CCGCGGUAAUACGAAGGGGACUAGCGUUGUUCGGAAUUACUGGGCGUAAAGCGCACGUAGGCGGAUUUAUAAGUCAGGGGUGAAAUCCUGGGGCUCAACCUCGGAACUGCCUUUGAUACUGUAGAUCUCGAGUCCGAUAGAGGUGGGUGGAAUUCCUAGUGUAGAGGUGAAAUUCGUAGAUAUUAGGAAGAACACCGGUGGCGAAGGCGGCCCACUGGAUCGGUACUGACGCUGAGGUGCGAAAGCGUGGGGAGCAAACAGG
rnacentral:rRNA from 1 species